GAGUUUGAUCAUGGCUCAGGACGAACGCUGGCGGCACGCCUAACACAUGCAAGUCGAACGGAGAUAUUUUGGUUUACUGAGAUAUCUUAGUGGCGGACGGGUGAGUAACACGUGAGCAACCUGCCUCUGAGAGAGGGAUAGCUUCUGGAAACGGAUGGUAAUACCUCAUAACAUAACGAAGCCGCAUGACUUUGUUAUCAAAGAUUUAUCACUCAGAGAUGGGCUCGCGUCUGAUUAGAUAGUUGGUGAGGUAACGGCUCACCAAGUCGACGAUCAGUAGCCGGACUGAGAGGUUGAACGGCCACAUUGGGACUGAGACACGGCCCAGACUCCUACGGGAGGCAGCAGUGGGGAAUAUUGCACAAUGGGGGAAACCCUGAUGCAGCGAUGCCGCGUGGAGGAAGAAGGUUUUCGGAUUGUAAACUCCUGUCUUAAAGGAYYAUAWUGAYGGUACUUU
rnacentral:rRNA from 1 species